ACUAGAAGACAAGAGACUUGAGGC
rnacentral:siRNA from 1 species